CCCCGGUUAGCACAGUCGGUAGAGCACGAGACUCUUCACCUCGGGGUCGUGGUUCGGGCCCCACGACGGGCGA